rnacentral:rRNA from 1 species
AUGAACGCUAGCUACAGGCUUAACACAUGCAAGUCGAGGGGCAGCAUUUUAGUUUGCUUGCAAACUAAAGAUGGCGACCGGCGCACGGGUGAGUAACACGUAUCCAACCUGCCGAUAACUCGGGGAUAGCCUUUCGAAAGAAAGAUUAAUAUCCGAUAGUAUAUUAAAACCGCAUGGUUUUACUAUUAAAGAAUUUCGGUUAUCGAUGGGGAUGCGUUCCAUUAGUUUGUUGGCGGGGUAACGGCCCACCAAGACUACGAUGGAUAGGGGUUCUGAGAGGAAGGUCCCCCACAUUGGAACUGAGACACGGUCCAAACUCCUACGGGAGGCAGCAGUGAGGAAUAUUGGUCAAUGGACGAGAGUCUGAACCAGCCAAGUAGCGUGAAGGAUGACUGCCCUAUGGGUUGUAAACUUCUUUUAUAUGGGAAUAAAGUAUUCCACGUGUGGGAUUUUGUAUGUACCAUAUGAAUAAGGAUCGGCUAACUCCGUGCCAGCAGCCGCGGUAAUACGGAGGAUUCGAGCGUUAUCCGGAUUUAUUGGGUUUAAAGGGAGCGUAGGUGGAUUGUUAAGUCAGUUGUGAAAGUUUGCGGCUCAACCGUAAAAUUGCAGUUGAAACUGGCAGUCUUGAGUACAGUAGAGGUGGGCGGAAUUCGUGGUGUAGCGGUGAAAUGCUUAGAUAUCACGAAGAACUCCGAUUGCGAAGGCAGCUCACUAGACUGCAACUGACACUGAUGCUCGAAAGUGUGGGUAUCAAACAGGAUUAGAUAUCCUGGUAGUCCACACAGUAAACGAUGAAUACUCGCUGUUUGCGAUAUACAGUAAGCGGCCAAGCGAAAGCAUUAAGUAUUCCACCUGGGGAGUACGCCGGCAACGGUGAAACUCAAAGGAAUUGACGGGGGCCCGCACAAGCGGAGGAACAUGUGGUUUAAUUCGAUGAUACGCGAGGAACCUUACCCGGGCUUAAAUUGCAUUUGAAUAAUCUGGAAACAGGUUAGCCGCAAGGCAAAUGUGAAGGUGCUGCAUGGUUGUCGUCAGCUCGUGCCGUGAGGUGUCGGCUUAAGUGCCAUAACGAGCGCAACCCUUAUCUUUAGUUACUAACAGGUCAUGCUGAGGACUCUAGAGAGACUGCCGUCGUAAGAUGUGAGGAAGGUGGGGAUGACGUCAAAUCAGCACGGCCCUUACGUCCGGGGCUACACACGUGUUACAAUGGGGGGUACAGAAGGCAGCUACCUGGCGACAGGAUGCUAAUCCCAAAAACCUCUCUCAGUUCGGAUCGAAGUCUGCAACCCGACUUCGUGAAGCUGGAUUCGCUAGUAAUCGCGCAUCAGCCAUGGCGCGGUGAAUACGUUCCCGGGCCUUGUACACACCGCCCGUCAAGCCAUGAAAGCCGGGGGUACCUGAAGUACGUAACCGCAAGGAGCGUCCUAGGGUAAAACUGGUAAUUGGGGCU